rnacentral:rRNA from 1 species
UACAGAGGGUGCGAGCGUUGUUCGGAAUUAUUGGGCGUAAAGGGCGCGUAGGCGGCGCCACAAGUCACUUGUGAAAACUCUGGGCUCAACUCAGAGCCUGCAAGCGAAACUGUGGUGCUGGAGUAUGGGAGAGGUGCGUGGAAUUCCCGGUGUAGCGGUGAAAUGCGUAGAUAUCAGGAAGAACACCCGUGGCGAAGGCGGCUCUCUGGUACGUGACUGACGCUGAGACGCGAAAGCGUGGGGAGCGAACAGG